rnacentral:lncRNA from 1 species
GUGAUUCCGGACUGUCCCCACGUGGUUCUAGCAUGUCUGAGAGGUGGUUCCGGCAUGCCUGUCAGCUGAUCCCGGAGAGUCCUCCAAGUGAUUCUGGCGUAGCCGGCAGGUGAUUUUGGCAUGUCCGGCAGGUGGUCCCGGCGUGCUCGGCAGGUGGUUCAGGCAGGUCCGGCAAGUGGUUCCGGUCUGUCCAGGAGGUGGUUCCGGCGUGUCCGGCAUGUGCUUUUUGCACGUCUGAGAGCUUGUGCCGGCAGACACCGAACGUUAUUCCGGCUUGUACGCCAAGUGGUUCUGGCACAGCCGGCAGGUGAUUUUGGCAUGUCCAGCAGUUGGGUCCGGCGAGUCAACCAGGUCGUUCCGACGAGUCUGGCAGGUGGUUCCUGUCUGUCUGGGAGGUGUUUCCAGCGUGUCUGGCACGUGCUUCUGGCACGUCUGAGAGGUUGUGCUGGGAUUCCUGGCAGGUGCUUCCAGACUGUCCGGCAAGUGGUUGUGGUGUAGCCGGCAGGUGAUUUUGGCAUGUCCGGCAGGUAGUUCCAGCGAGUCGAGCAGGUAGUUCGGGCAUGCUCAGCAGGUGGUUCACCAUGUCCGGCAAGUGGUUGCAGUCUAUCCAGGACGUGGUUCUGUCAUGUCUGGCACAUCGUUCUGGUACGUCUGAGAUGUGGAUCUGGCAUGCCCGGCCGGUGAUUCCGGAGUGUCCGGCAGGUGGUUCUGCAGAGUGGAUCAGGUGGUUCAUGCAUGCUCGGCAGGUGCUUCCAGCAUCUCCGGCAUGUGCUUCUGGCACGUCUGAGAGGUGGUUCCAGCAUGCCCGCCAGGUAAUUCCGGAGUGACCAACAAGUGGUUAUGGCAUAGAGGGCUGGUGAUUUUGGCGUGUCUGGCAGGUGGUUCCGGCGAGUCGAGCAGGUGGUUCCAGCGGGCUCGGCAGGUGGUUCAGGCAUUUCGGGCAGUUGGUUCCAGUGGGUCCUGUAGGUGCUUUCAGUGUGUCCUGCACAUGGUUCUGGCACUUCUGAGAGGUGGUUCCGGCAUGCCCGGCAGGUGAUCCCGGACUGUCCCCAACGUGGUUCUGGCAUAG